UGGAGGAUCCUCUCACAGUGCCUCGUGUGGCGGUCGAUACUCACUUACCAGCGGAAGAUCCUCCUCUUAUUCCUUCUGAUACUGAGCCUCCUCUCGAGGAUACCCCCAUUAUCCCCCCUCCUUCUCCUGUUUCUAUGGAUAUUGACCUCUCCUCCUGCCACCUUGCCCCAGCCUCUCCUGUUCCCCCAGCCUCCCCAGUAUCUCCUCCUCACCUUGAAAACUGCAUUCUUGGCCUCGCAGCUGUUUGUCCAUCCCGCCCUGUAAUCUUUAACAGCAAUGCCUUAAGUCUUAAAAAACCCAGAACCGCAAGAAAUAAACCCACUUCACUUAACCCUUUUCAAAU
rnacentral:lncRNA from 1 species